rnacentral:lncRNA from 1 species
AUGUACAAGUCAUGUGAGGCGGCAGCGGUCUGCAUCGUGUCACCCUGCAGGGGAGUCUCUGCAAGGCUGGGCUCGCGCUGCAAAGGCACGGGGCUCUCCUCCUGCUUGGGGAUAGGCAGGCAGGGCCAGGGGAUGGUUGGAGACUUGCAGCCCCAGAACCGGGCUCUUGAAGGUCACCUUGUUCACCCUCUUAGUGCCCCGGGCAGCAGGUGCUCCAGUAAAUGGAUGGAUGGAUCAAUAGCCAGAUGGAUGGAUGGGGAAUUAUGAUGCCACCUUGUCCUGAGCACCUCACAGGCCAGCUGAGACGUCAAGAUUCACCUGACUGCAAUUCGCAAGUGCAGAAAACAACCUUUGCUUGAGUUUCAAAUUGAAAGUAUGAUGUUAGAGUGCAGUGCUUUGGGGAGGCCAGUGAGAAUGAGGCUCACAGACCUCCAGCUUCAGGGAGUGCAGGUUCUAGCUGCUGGGUUCUAAAAUCCACUGCUGCUGAGGCCACACUGCCCCGGGGAGCAAGGGUACCUUGGCAGGCCCGUCCCUGGAGACACAGACUCCUCUGACUGCUAAGGGCCCCCCAGCAGCCUAGCCAGGCCUUCCUUAACCUGCACGGCAGUCUAGGAUGCUUUUGCACCACCUGACUUCCCUCGGUCCUUCACUCGGGGUGAGACUCACAUGGAGGUCAGACAGCGCUCCGAACCUCUCUGGCUCCCUCUCCUUCUCUCACGUAGGGAUUUCUCCAAGGAAAACCCUAGCAUGGCCAGUCCUGUCUUGGCGUCCGUUUAUCAGAGGACCCAGACGAACAUAGCCUUAGAAGUUUAAUGUGUUCUGUGGGCCAGGGAGUCAGAACAGGCUUAAUGAGGAGGCAGCACACCGUGGACUUGUCUAGCAGAAUUCAGACGGCUGGGAGGGCAGAUUCCUGGUUCGGGCAGCGCGGGCACAGGCUGCGGUGCCAGCCCUCUGGGGAGAGAGGCCGUGUCUGCCUCAUUCACUGCCAACCUCCUGCACGUAACACAGCACCAGGCUCAUAGUGGUCCCUCACUGAACUCCUGUUGAAUCAAUGAAUGAACAGACUCCUUCUCCCUCUUCUUAGCGCCACAAUCCCUUGUGCUUACCUAUGUUCUAGAAGCCAUCACAUUAAAAAAAAUUUUUUUUUAAGGUUUAUUCAUUUUUCAGAGACAGAGUGUGAGGGGGGAGGAGGAGACAGAGAGGGAGACACAGAAUCCAAAGCAGGCUCCAGGCUCCGAGCUGUCAGCACUGAAUCUGACGCGGGGCU